UUUUGGAAGUAAAGACGAUCCUGCAUGUCAUUUAGUUUUUUACAAAGUUAGAAUGUCGCCAAAAAGCACUGGAUAAUAGUACUUAAUCAAGCUUAAACAACACUUGACAUUUAUUACAGGAUCUUCAUAGCUGUCUACUCAUAGUAAAAGAACAGAAAGAACUAUUAAUCUUUAUAGCUGUUCUGGUGAGACAACAGUAAGAAACACACCAGACCUUUAUUGAUUUAAGGAAAAACUAGCAACUAAAUGCAGCUCCUACGGUGUACAGGAGGUACGUGGUGGCAAUGGGCCAUGGUACGUAGAAGGUGGCAGGUUUGUUGGUGGGGUGGAUGGUCUAGUUUAUGGAGUGAGCAGAAGCCCAUAUGGAGGAGGAGAAGGGGGCGAAUAUGUAGUUGGUGGUGGUGGUGGUUGGCCAUACGUAGGUGUAGGUGUAGGUGUAGGUGGUCGUGGCUGCCUAUGAGGAGGAGGCGGUGAGUGAAUUCGUCUUGGCGGAGGAGGAGAGAUAGUCGGUGGUGGUUGGCCAUAAGUAGGUGUAGGUGUAGGUGGUCGUAGCU
rnacentral:lncRNA from 1 species